AUUGACUGGUUACGUUGUUCAGCAAAGUCAAAUCUUGUGAUAAAAUCCAUUUUAACACUGGUUUUAACAGAGUUCCCGCAUCCUUGAAACCUAGAAUUGUAUUUAUGCAGUCUGUACAAUUGCUCUGGAGUGGGGUUUAAGAAACCUUGACCUAAGAGUGGAAAUAUUCUAGAUUGUAAAUUCCUAGUUGGAAACAUGUUUUGCCCCGGGAUAAGUGUAAAGUCUCAAGGACUUUUGACUUCUAAUAGGUCAUACACAUCAGAUAAGUGGGCAAUAUGUCUUCUCUUUCUCAAGGCUUGGGUCUUGAGGAGUAGUAGCAUUUAUUUACUGGCAAAUAAACUACACACUACACUGUUAUGUUCACUGCUAUAACUUUACUGCUGACUUCUCUCUGUUUUAACAUUUAAUAGCUAAACUGGAUAUAUAUUGCAGAUGUCCGUAAGUUAAUUAUUUUCUGGUCAAAAAGAACAUUUCAGAUAUCCACUGACAUUCUUCCUAGGAAGAAUUACCUCGCUUUUGCCAUUCAUGUGUUAUGGGCUUUUUAUUUUUAGAUAUCCAUAAUUGCAUUUUUUUUAAUAGUCUUACGAGGGGGAAAACUCACAUUUCACUCGUAUCGACGGGAAAACGGUAUUCGAAGCAACAUCGACCUUGGCUCAGGAUUAUGUUGCGCACAGUCCAGUCUGACACUAGUGGCUUUGUUAGUCUGGUUAUAAACAAACAGAAUAUUAUUUUAAUCAUUUUGUCAUAGCUUAUUACUAAUUAAAUACAAGUUGGAUUUAGCGCUGUGACACUGACAAAGGCAAGUGUAGGAUACUUUUUAAUUUGCCAGAACAUGUCAUAAGGACAAAUGCCUUCUUUCAAGUGUCAUAGUAAUCCCUUGGGUGAGAAUAAAAGGGUUAUGAGCAAUGUCCUGGAAAAUAUCUUAAAGUGGAUACUCAAAAUUGUAUUGUGCCUUCUUUUGCAGAGUGAGGACAUUGACCUCAAGAGGGAGUGUGUCCUCUGUGUGUCUCCCUCAAUGAGGACAGCAACACUCUCAUCAAGGAGUACUUGAACGUCAACAGUGAGGAAGCUGAGCGAGAGAUCGCGCAGACCACCGUGGGCCUUUACAGGAUUAUCAAAGAAGGUGCUGAUAAAGAGGACGAGCCAAAGGACGUUGGAGUGGUGAUCGAAGGUGUGGAGCUGCUAUGCAAUCUGAGAGGCGUUGCCUUUGGAUGUGCCAUGCUCUUUGGCCUAAUUUACACUCUCAACCUGAGCUAUCCCCGAGAACUCAAAUUCACUUUUGAGUUUAUCCAGAAAGUGUUGAUGAACUUGGAUGGAAAGAAGUUGUCCCCAAAGGUCCAAACACUUAAAAUCAAGAUGCUUCAAUGAGCUCACAUGGUCAGCACUGGAGAGUUGAGCUAGCCACAUUUUGGCAUGUUGGACAUUGAUAUAUUGACCUGGUAAGACUACAGAAGCUAGUGACUUACUAGUUUGUGGUACUGUUGUCAGGUUCACUGGAAAAGCUGUUAUGUGUUCUAAUUGUUGCAUUACCCAGGUUUAUCAAUACUGGUAUCCAUUGUAUUAAUGAUUAAUCCAUUUUGUAUUUUAUUAUUCAUCAUAAUCACAACUCUAAUUUUUAAGUUGUUGAUGUCAUAAUGCAUGGCUAGACUGGAUAUAUUGUAUACCUGUUUAACACUUCAUGACUAAAAUGUUGUGUUCUAAUUGUUCCAUUACCCAGGUUUACCAAUACUGGUAUCAGUUUUAUUAAUAAUUAAUCCAUUUUGUAUUACUAUUCAUCAUAAUGAUCAUAAUCACAACUCUAAUUUUUAAGUUGUUGGUGUCAUAUUGUGACUGUUUGUAUACCUGUUUAACACUUUUUUUUGGUAUUCGUCAAUAAAGCCUUCUGAAUUGUC